rnacentral:lncRNA from 10 species
CACAUAUGCAGCUGUUAGCACUAUCCGUCUCCAGAACUUUUUCAUCAUCUCAUUUUUGAAACAAGGAUGAUAUUCUCAAGGGAUUGUUGUGAUGAUUAAAUGAAAUAUGAGAUGAAAGUGCUAGCACAGAGAGGGCACUCUGUAACUUUACUCCAAGGUUUGAAGUCUUCCCGUGGUGAGCUAUCUAAGCCUGCUGCUUGGGCUAGCUGAGAGUUCUUUUAUAAAUACCCAAGGUGGAGACAGGAGAGCAGUACGUUUCUGCACUUGGUGGUGUCAGGGUUGAAGUCUGGUUGCCUGUUGCUUCGUGAGGGUGGUUAUUAGUUUCACCUGGACUUCCGCAGUGCAGCCUGCUGUGCGUUUUUCCCUACCCCCAAAUUACAGCUUUGAGUCUUUCAUGUGUCUCUGUUCAACAGCUACUCUGUGUCUGUGGGCUCUGAAAUAAAGGCUACAUUUUCAGUU